rnacentral:rRNA from 1 species
UACAGAGGGGGCAAGCGUUAUUCGGAAUUAUUGGGCGUAAAGGGCGCGUAGGCGGCCUGACAAGUGGAAGGUGAAAUCCCUCGGCUUAACCGAGGAACUGCCCUCCAAACUGUUUGGCUUGAGUCCGGGAGAGGUGAGUGGAAUUCCCAGUGUAGCGGUGAAAUGCGUAGAUAUUGGGAGGAACACCAGUGGCGAAGGCGGCUCACUGGACCGGAACUGACGCUGAGACGCGAAAGCGUGGGGAGCAAACGGG